rnacentral:rRNA from 1 species
GACGGAGGAUGCAAGCGUUAUCCGGAAUGAUUGGGCGUAAAGCGUCCGCAGGUGGCAGUUCAAGUCUGCUGUCAAAGACCGGGGCUUAACUUCGGAAAGGCAGUGGAAACUGAACAGCUAGAGUAUGGUAGGGGCAGAGGGAAUUCCUGGUGUAGCGGUGAAAUGCGUAGAGAUCAGGAAGAACAUCAGUGGCGAAGGCGGCCUGCUGGGCUGUUGCUGACGCUGAGGCGCGACAGCGUGGGGAGCAAACAGG